ACGCUGGCGGCGUGCUUAACACAUGCAAGUCGAACGGAAAGGCCCUGCUUUUGUGGGGUGCUCGAGUGGCGAACGGGUGAGUAACACGUGAGUAACCUGCCCUUGACUUUGGGAUAACUUCAGGAAACUGGGGCUAAUACCGGAUAGGAGCUCCUGCUGCAUGGUGGGGGUUGGAAAGUUUCGGCGGUUGGGGAUGGACUCGCGGCUUAUCAGCUUGUUGGUGGGGUAGUGGCUUACCAAGGCUUUGACGGGUAGCCGGCCUGAGAGGGUGACCGGCCACAUUGGGACUGAGAUACGGCCCAGACUCCUACGGGAGGCAGCAGUGGGGAAUAUUGCACAAUGGGCGGAAGCCUGAUGCAGCAACGCCGCGUGCGGGAUGACGGCCUUCGGGUUGUAAACCGCUUUCGCCUGUGACGAAGCGUGAGUGACGGUAAUGGGUAAAGAAGCACCGGCUAACUACGUGCCAGCAGCCGCGGUGAUACGUAGGGUGCGAGCGUUGUCCGGAUUUAUUGGGCGUAAAGGGCUCGUAGGUGGUUGAUCGCGUCGGAAGUGCAAUCUUGGGGCUUUAACCCUGAGCGUGCUUUCGAUACGGGUUGACUUGAGGAAGGUAGGGGAGAAUGGAAUUCCGGGUGGAGCGGUGGAAUGCGCAGAUAUCAGGAGGAACACCAGUGGCGAAGGCGGUUCUCUGGGCCUUUCCUGACGCUGAGGAGCGAAAGCGUGGGGAGCGAACAGGCUUAGAUACCCUGGUAGUCCACGCUGUAAACGGUGGGUACUAGGUGUGGGGUCCAUUCCACGGGUUCCGUGCCGUAGCUAACGCUUUAAGUACCCCGCCUGGGGAGUACGGCCGCAAGGCUAAAACUCAAAGGAAUUGACGGGGCCCCGCACAAGCGGCGGAGCAUGCGGAUUAAUUCGAUGCAACGCGUAGAACCUUACCUGGGUUUGACAUGGAUCGGGAGUGCUCAGAGAUGGGUGUGCCUCUUUUGGGGUCGGUUCACAGGUGGUGCAUGGCUGUCGUCAGCUCGUGUCGUGAGAUGUUGGGUUAAGUCCCGCAACGAGCGCAACCCUUGUUCACUGUUGCCAGCACGUUAUGGGGGGGACUCAGUGGAGACCGCCGGGGUCAACUCGGAGGAAGGUGGGGAUGACGUCAAGUCAUCAUGCCCCUUAUGUCCAGGGCUUCACGCAUGCUACAAUGGCUGGUACAGAGAGUGGCGAGCCUGUGAGGGUGAGCGAAUCUCGGAAAGCCGGUCUCAGUUCGGAUUGGGGUCUGCAACUCGACCUCAUGAAGUCGGAGUCGCUAGUAAUCGCAGAUCAGCAACGCUGCGGUGAAUACGUUCCCGGGGCUUGUACACACCGCCCGUCAAGUCAUGAAAGUUGGUAACACCCGAAGCCGAAGGCCUAACCGUUGUGGGGGAGCCGUCGAAGG
rnacentral:rRNA from 1 species